rnacentral:rRNA from 1 species
AGAGUUUGAUCAUGGCUCAGAAUCAACGCUGGCGGCGUGCCUAACACAUGCAAGUCGAACGAGAAAGUGGUAGCAAUACCAUGAGUAAAGUGGCGCACGGGUGAGUAACACGUGACUAACCUACCCUGGAGUGGGGGAUAACUGAGGGAAACCUUAGCUAAUACCGCAUAAUACCCACGGGUCAAAGGAGCAAUUCGCUCUGGGAGGGGGUCGCGGCCGAUUAGUUAGUUGGCGGGGUAAUGGCCCACCAAGACGAUGAUCGGUAUCCGGCCUGAGAGGGCGCACGGACACACUGGAACUGAAACACGGUCCAGACUCCUACGGGAGGCAGCAGUGGGGAAUUUUGCGCAAUGGGGGAAACCCUGACGCAGCAACGCCGCGUGGAGGAUGAAGUCCUUCGGGACGUAAACUCCUUUCGAUCGGGACGAUUAUGACGGUACCGGAAGAAGAAGCCCCGGCUAACUUCGUGCCAGCAGCCGCGGUAAUACGAGGGGGGCGAGCGUUGUUCGGAAUUAUUGGGCGUAAAGGGUGCGUAGGCGGUUUGGUAAGUCUUAUGUGAAAUCUAUGGGCUCAACUCAUAGACUGCAUGAGAAACUGCCGGGCUUGAGUGUGGGAGAGGUGAGUGGAAUUUCCGGUGUAGCGGUGAAAUGCGUAGAUAUCGGAAGGAACACCUGUGGCGAAAGCGGCUCACUGGACCACAACUGACGCUGAUGCACGAAAGCUAGGGGAGCAAACAGGAUUAGAUACCCUAGUAGUCC